GACCAGCGGGGAGAAUGGGAGACACAUCAUGUGUCUGAUGGCGGCACAUCUUCCUCUCCUGGGGUUGUGAUGGGUGGUCCUGCCACCACCCGGAGUCCCAGGAAGGAAGAUGUCAGGCCAGCUCUCAUUUCCCUGAGAAAUGAGAGCUGUUUGAAGUGGACGCCGCGGCUACCUACAAUUUGGGAGACCUGCACUGAGUCGGACCCAUCGGAAGAAUUCCAUCCGAUGGGGACGGCUCGGAGCCCAGUGCAGGAGGGAAGCGGU